rnacentral:rRNA from 1 species
ACACUCCUACGGGAGGCAGCAGUGGGGAAUAUUGGACAAUGGGCGCAAGCCUGAUCCAGCCAUGCCGCGUGAGUGAUGAAGGCCCUAGGGUUGUAAAGCUCUUUCACCGGAGAAGAUAAUGACGGUAUCCGGAGAAGAAGCCCCGGCUAACUUCGUGCCAGCAGCCGCGGUAAUACGAAGGGGGCUAGCGUUGUUCGGAAUUACUGGGCGUAAAGCGCACGUAGGCGGAUCGAUCAGUCAGGGGUGAAAUCCCAGGGCUCAACCCUGGAACUGCCUUUGAUACUGUCGAUCUGGAGUAUGGAAGAGGUGAGUGGAAUUCCGAGUGUAGAGGUGAAAUUCGUAGAUAUUCGGAGGAACACCAGUGGCGAAGGCGGCUCACUGGUCCAUUACUGACGCUGAGGUGCGAAAGCGUGGGGAGCAAACAGGAUUAGAUACCCCGGUAGUCCCA